rnacentral:rRNA from 1 species
GUUAAGUGAACCGCCUGGGAAGUACGGUCGCAAGGCUAAAACUCAAAGGAAUUGACGGGGACCCGCACAAGCGGUGGAGCGCCUGCUUUAAUUCGAUGAUCACCGAAGAACCUUACCGAGGUUUGACAUGUAACUGCAAGCUGGAUGAAAGUCCGGCCCCCUUCGAGGGUGUUACACAGGUAUUGCAUGGCUGUCGUCAGCUCGUGUCGUGAGAUGUACCGUUAAGUCGGGUAACGAGCGCAACCCUUAUCGUUAGUUGUAUCACUCUAGCGAGACUGCCCUGGCAACGGGGAGGAAGGAGAGGAUGAUGAUAAGUCGGCAUGGUCCUUAUGCCUCGGGCGAGACAGGCGCUACAAUGGCCAGUACAAUGGGCAGCCACAUAGAAAUAUGGAGCGAAUCCCGUAAAGCUGGUCUCAGUUCAGAUUGAGGGCUGCAACUCGCCCUCAUGAAGUUGGAAUCGCUAGUAAUCGUGGGUCAGCUAUACCACGGUGAAUACGUUCUCGGGUCUUGUACACACUGCCCGUCAGGUCAGCAGAGUUGGGAAUACCCGAAGUCCCCAUUUAAUUGGGGCCUAAGGUAGGCUCAGUGAUGAGGAUUAAGUCGUAACAAGGUAACC